rnacentral:tRNA from 1 species
GCCCAAGUGGCGGAAUGGUAGACGCAGGGGAUUCAAAAUCCCCCGGCCGAAAGGUCAUGUCGGUUCGAGUCCGACCUUGGGUA